rnacentral:rRNA from 1 species
ACGACGCUGGCGGCGUGCCUAAUACAUGCAAGUCGAACGGUCUUUCUAUGGAAGCUUGCUUCCACUGAGAAGAUAGUGGCGAACGGGUGAGUAACACGUGGGUAACCUGCCCAUAAGAGGGGGAUAACAUCCGGAAACGGGUGCUAAUACCGCAUAGUUUUCUUGAUCGCAUGAUUGAGAAAGGAAAGACGGCCUUUGUGCUGUCGCUUAUGGAUGGACCCGCGGCGUAUUAGUUAGUUGGUGAGGUAACGGCUCACCAAGACGAUGAUACGUAGCCGACCUGAGAGGGUGAUCGGCCACAUUGGGACUGAGACACGGCCCAAACUCCUACGGGAGGCAGCAGUAGGGAAUCUUCCGCAAUGGACGAAAGUCUGACGGAGCAACGCCGCGUGAGUGAAGAAAGGUUUUCGGAUCGUAAAACUCUGUUGUCAGAGAAGAACAAGUUGGAGAGUAACUGCUCCAGCCUUGACGGUAUCUGACCAGAAAGCCACGGCUAACUACGUGCCAGCCGCAGC